rnacentral:tRNA from 1 species
GCCUGGGUGGCUCAGUCGGUUAAGCGUCUGACUUCAGCUCAGGUCAUGAUCUCGUGGUUUGUGGGUUCGAGCCCCGCGUCGGGCU